AUCUGGCUGGCUCAGCCAGUAGAGCAUGAGACUCUUGAUCUCCAGGCUGUGGGUUCAGGUCCCCACACUGGGUG
rnacentral:tRNA from 1 species